rnacentral:rRNA from 1 species
GAUGAACGCUGGCGGCGUGCCUAAUACAUGCAAGUCGAGCGAACAGACGCGGAGCUUGCUCCUCUGACGUUAGCGGCUGAAUGGUUAGUAACGCGUGGAUAACCUACCUAUAAGACUGGGAUACAUUCGGGAAACCGGAGCUAAUACCGGAUAAUGUAUUGAACCGCAUGGUUCCUUAGUGAAAGGCGGUUUUUCUGUUACUUGUACAUGGAUCUGCGCCGCAGUAGCUAGUUGGUAAGGUAACGGCUUACUAAGGCAACGAUGCGUAGCCGACCUGAGAGGGUGAGCGGCCACACUGGAACUGAGACACGGCCCAGACUCCUACGGGAGGCAGCAGUAGGGAAUUUUCCGCAAUGGGCGAAAGCCUGACGGAGCAACGCCGCGUGAGGGAUGAAGGUCUUCGGAUCGUAAAACUCUGUUAUAAGGGAAGAACAAAUGUGUAAGUGACUAUGCACGUAUUGACGGUACCUAAUCAGAAAGCCACGGCUAACUACGUG